CUGUCAUUUGAUUGGUGGAGAUUGCGAUCCGAAACUUUUCAAAAAUCAUCUCCAUCUCAGUUGGGUUCAGAUCGACGGUUUCAUCGCACAAGAAGUAUCGCACUAAAGAUGCUGCUAUGAAGGACAAGACGCAGAUGUAUUAUUCCCAGCACCAACCCAAGAAGAUCAGCGGCAGAGACUCAAGCAUCUGUCACGCAACUCCCGUCACGUGACUAGCAUUUUCACUUUCCAACUACUGAAGCUAAUGAUGAUAGGCAACUUGCACUAACUUUGAUCACAUAACUUUUUGGGUGCCAAAGUAGCGCGCACUCCGGCUGUUGGCGCAAAUUAACAUCAAAAAAGCAACUUAUCCAGCUCUUACGGAUCAGCCAGAAGGUUUUCGUGUGUCAGAUUUAUUUAUUUUUGAUUUCCGUAUGUCGUUCCCUGCUAUUAUCCCGGCUAGCGCGUCGGCGUUGUUCUUUCGCCAGCGAUAUAAGCAGAUUGGAGUGAGUCACACUUCUGAUUCUUCCACUAAGUUUCCUUGCUCUGAUUCUCCUUGUGAAUUUAUUUAAUGCUCCUCAUAAACUUAUCUUGUUCUGAUGUUCUCUGUAAAUUUACCUUGGUCUGUUGGUACGAGAAGCAUCAGAGAGCAUGGUAAAUUUACGAGACGCAUCAGAGAGCAUGGUAAAUUUACGAGAAACAUCAGAGAGCGUGGUAAGUAUACGGAGAGCAUCAGAGAGCGUGGUAAAUUUACGGAGAGCAUCAGAGAGAAUAGUUAAUUUACUGAGAACACCAGCGAGCGUGGUAAGUUUACGGAGAGCUUCAGAGAGAACGGUAAAUUUACGGAUAGCAUCAGAGAGCGUGGUAAUUUUACGAAGAGCACAGAGAGCAUGGUAACUUUACGGAGAGCAUCGGAGAACAUGGUAAAUUUACGGGGAGCAUCAGAGAGCAUGGUAAAUUUACGGAGAGCAUCGGAGAGUAGUUGUGGGUGCUGUUUUUGGAGUAGCAAGGAUAAAUUUUAUAUAAAUAGUAUGUAUACAUUAUGAUCUUCUUGAAUAAAAGUUGAUAAAGUAGAACAUGUCCACUUUGAGUCAAUGGUUUUAUAACAAACCCUUCAAGCGGUCGAUAAGUCCGUUAUGCUUAAUAUAGAUAUCAAGCGGUGACCACACAUCAUCAAAUUAACCCAGACUCGUACCCAGUCGUUAUUUGCUGUUGCGCGGACAUCCACAGGAAUCCUGAAGCGAAGACAAAAAAUUCCGAAACCGCAUCCUGACCGUCAUGCAUCGCGCGGCGUCUGGGUACGAGACUGAAAUUAACCAUAUAGCUACAGAAAAGACUGUCCAUAUUCAACCAGGUCAAGAGACUGCAAGUAAUCGUCCAUUUCGUCAACAAGUUUCGUCCAGUUAUUCGCAGAUUGUCGAAAUGGACCAUGAUUAAACAGAAUGAGACUGUUUUUGAUCUCGAAAAAGUUCAAAUGGACAAGACCAUAGAAUGGUUAUAUCCGUGCUUUUUUAAAAUAAGCGUAUCGGUAAAAAAAAAUGACAACUCUGGAUAGGGAAAAUUAAGAAAACUCCCGUAAUCUGCUAGUACGCUUUGGCGUACUAGCAGAUUAUUUCUCGUAAAUGACCAGAUCUUAUAUCAAGGUACAAAUACUGCUAACCACAAAUUUAGAAAAAGGGCCGAAGAAGGCAAAUGAUGCAUGUUUUUUAUCAUUUUAUACCGUUACUAAGAAAAUAUCACGUAAGUGCAAAAGUGCAGAUUUUGAUUUAAUGUUGUUGAUGCCUCUGCUACUCACCUCUGGUACUGUGCCGAGUAGCUUUUUGAUAGGGUUUGGCCACUUUAUUGUUGUUCAAAAGAAAAGCAAUGAAAGUACUAUAGACUACCUCUGAAUUUCUUAUUAUCCCCUUUAAUAUCUAUAAUAGACUUAUUUUAAGACAAAUCAUUUAAGUUUAUGGACACUAAAAACAUUAAAUCCUCCAGUAAUCUGUUAGAAAUGUGGCUGCCUUACAGAGGUGGUUUAAUAAUAACUAAAUCUGCUUAGAGUCGUUUUCAAAAUCCUGUGCAACAAAAUGCAAUUGUUAAAGUGUAAUAGUCAAGCCAGAACAAGUGAACAAAACAGUGUAUAAGUACUAAAUAAACUAAAAAGUAUUUAUGUAUCUCAAAGUUCGCUCCGGUAACAAGAGCCUUUCUUAUUCAUUCUCUCCCAGAGCAGUCAGAUUAUGGAACCUUUAACAUAACCCUCUGCCAGCCUUCAAGGCAGCAGCUUCAGAAGCUUUACCCUCUAUAAGGUACCACCACACCUUAAAGCCCCAUUGGCAAUCAAUGCGAUUGUUUUUGUUUUGAAAUAGCGCCUCUUGCGAGCGAUUUGAUUGGAGGACUAAAAUAUGCAUAUAAUUCCACGCGAUCACUCAAACUCGAAACUAUUCCUUGAUUUAUCACUGAUAAGUACUAUAAUCUGUAAUUAAAACUCUAGGUUGAUAAGCAUGAACCGAGAAGUCGAGGAGAAUAUAUGCCGAACACAUAGGGAGUAUAUAUUUCAUUGCUAUGAUUUGCAAAUUUGACUCACAGCAAAACUUCUACAUUUUGUUUGUUGCAUCGAGGCUCACCUUUGAAUCGAACCUGCUAUUUUCAUUCCCUCUAUAAGUGGCUCAGAGUCUGAAAAACUUUGACUUCCAGGAGAACUAAACCAAAAUUCCUUUGUAGUGGCUGUGAUUGUUAUCACGCAAUGCGUACAAGAUUCCCUAUAGGCAAGAUACUGGCAUCGACACGAACGCAAAAAGCGAAGGACUAAAGCGAAAAGGAAUUCUGUAUUGUUCUUGGACGUCAGUGAAUGAUUAAUACAAGUUUCACGAACCUAAUUUCCCGUGAACUGCGGCCUUCGGCUCAAGGUGGUAAAACCGCUUUCAUAUGACAUCGCAUAAAUGCCAGCAUAUAGAUAAAUCUUAGAAUUAUUUGCCAGGUAUUGUUGUAAAACGAUAAAGUGAUAACUAUUUAAAACUUUGAGCCGCAUAGCGCUAAAAUCGGGCCUCAAUCUGAUGUAGGCUUGGCUGCUUAUGGGCCUUUAAAGCAAUUUGUUGCAGAAAGUAGAACAGCGUUUUACUUUACGUGCGACUUUGAGAAA